UACACUCCACUACUAUACACUACUAUACACCACUAAAUACACUACUAUACAUGACACUACUUAUAGACUACACAUUGGGCUCUAUGAAGACCCGUCGUUAAGCGAUUAGUCGUUAACAGGGGUGAUCCUUAACAGGGGUUCUACGGUUUAUCCAUCGAUAUACGAUGAGAGAGAGAGAGAGAACGAUCCUGCACCGUUAUAAUAUCCACGCUGCAGACGCAACCUUGAACUGGCAACCGUGGCGCGGCAUUAGGCGCGCGCGCGAUUCUACGACGUCACAAGCGUGGCCAUUGUGACGUCACCCGCGCGAGCGUUUCGUCACCACCACCCCCCCCCCCCCCUAAAGGCUCCUCCCCGCGAACGCCGGUUCCGUAUCCGUGGAGCUGCAUUUAGAAAGCGGGGCACGUUGCGCUAUCCCUCCCUCCGCUCCUCUCGAUCUUUGUUGUGGCGAGUUGGCCUCGAAAUGUGACGACUCGGCUCCUCCUGCUGUCGUCGCUGUCGGGCAGUGUGAGCGAUUGCGUGCGAGUCUUUUGAGGACACAAUGCGGUGGGAGGAGGGGGGGGUGGGGGAUCUUUGGCUUUGUGAGUGUGUGUGCGUGUGUUGAAUUCACGCAUGUUGAACUUCUCUUUCGCACCCGACGUAGCUCAACGUGCUCACCGGCGCACUGCGUUAGGAAGCCGGUGGCAAACCCGAGGUCGAUUCCCGCUCACGACCAAUAGUUACGGUGGCUCCAGUCUUGCAAAAGUGAGACUCCUCCAUCCUAGUCUCUCCGAGUUCCCUCACCUGGUUAAACAAAGUAAACGUGAACCUUUGGCGGGCGUUCCGUCAUUUGCGUCACCCACCUAUAUCACCGCCCUCGUCACGGCGUGCCCUGCCCAUGCCUGCUGAUAACUUUAGAUAUGGUUUGCAUUAAAGUGCGUAUGCUUUGUUUAAAACCACGUGCUCCUCCUCUCUGUCUCGCUAGGAUUUCAAGCACGCACCUCUUCCAUGUACGUUGCACACCUCUCACACUUUUGUUCCAUUAUUCUCACCGCGUGUCUGAUCAGUAUGUCAUGGCAUGUUAAUAUAUCACGCACACCUUUAUGUAAUGCAUACCCUUUGACAUACAUUCAAGUUUCCGACUAAGAUUUUUUUGAUAUUCUUAUGGGAAAAGUGGAAAUGUGUGCGUUACGUGAUUCAUCACACUCACACUGUUGACCCCAUCAUUCCAUGACAUCACUUCCUUACGUCAUCCAUUAAAAAAAGCAAUUGUGAUGUAUUUUAUGCAACCAUUGUUACACAAUCGACACGCACUCCAACCAGCACUCUGAUUAUCAGAGUGCUGUUUUUUUUUGUUUGCAUUCUGACCGCAAGUAUUGUGGUUAAUGCAAACAUGAUCCCUUGUAAAAAAAAAAAGUGUCAGGUUUGUUGCCAGAUAAAAGGGUAAAAACCUAUUAUCAUAUUUUGCUACUGGCAAAGGAGGUCUCAUUAUGUAAACUCUUGAGUGCCACUCCGGGUGCUUGGCAUGGCCCAGCCGGAGCGCGUUCGUCGCCUGCUGCAGAGGUUCACGCAGUGGCCGCCUUGAUUAUUACUGCGGUUGUGUUUGUAAUAACCGUAA